rnacentral:rRNA from 1 species
CCUACGGGGGGCAGCAGUAGGGAAUCUUUCACAAUGGGCGAAAGCCUGAUGGAGCAACGCCGCGUGCAGGAUGAAGGCCUUCGGGUUGUAAACUGCUUUUAUAAGCGAGAAAUAUGAUGGUAACUUAUGAAUAAGGAUCGGCUAACUACGUGCCAGCAGCCGCGGUCAUACGUAGGAUCCGAGCAUUAUCCGGAGUGACUGGGUGUAAAGAGUUGCGUAGGUGGCAUAAUAAGUAGCUAGUGAAAUCUGGUGGCUCAACCAUUCAGACUAUUAGCUAAACUGUUAAGCUCGAGACCGUUAGGGGUAACUGGAAUUACUAGUGUAGGAGUGAAAUCCGUAGAUAUUAGAAGGAACACCAAUAGCGUAGGCAGGUUGCUGGGACGGUUCUGACACUAAGGCACGAAAGCGUAGGGAGCAAACGGGAUUAGAUACCCGAGUAGUC